AGUCAUGUCAAUGAAGCGAUUCUAUUGGUUUUCAAAAACACAUUCCUCGCAACACAGCUCAGCUCAGCUCUAGUGGAAAGGCAGCCUUAAUGCGUUACCGGAACUUUUGUU